rnacentral:rRNA from 1 species
CCGGAGAAAAAUGGAAGAGUGUCUAGCCUGCCCAGUGACAUAGUUAAACGGCCGCGGUAUCCUGACCGUGCGAAGGUAGCAUAAUCACUUGUUCUUUAAAUAAGGACUAGUAUCAACGGCAUCACGAGGGUUAUACUGUCUCCUCCCUCCAAUCAGUGAAACUAAUUUUCCCGUGAAGAAGCGGGAAUAAGAAUAUAAGACGAGAAGACCCCAUGGAGCUUUAAACCCAACAGCAACCUCUAUAUACAAAUCCCCUAAUAUCUAAAGAAGUCCUACCUGUUGGUUUUAGGUUGGGGUGACCGCGGAGUAAAACUAAGCCUCCACGACGAACGGGAUUAACCCCUAAUCCAAGAGCCACCGCUCUAAGAAUCAAUAAAUUGACGUAAAAUGAUCCGAUAAUCGAUCAACGAACUAAGUUACCCUGGGGAUAACAGCGCAAUCCAUUUCAAGAGCCCCUAUCGACAAAUGGGUUUACGACCUCGAUGUUGGAUCAGGGUAUCCCAGUGGUGCAGCCGCUACUAAAGGUUUGUUUGUUCAACAAUUAAAACCCUACGUGAUCUGAGUCAAAACCCCGGAGAUG